GUUUAUUUUAAUUAAUAUACGCGACAAUUAAACUUUUGGACGUGUGUUUUAGUUGUUUAUGAGUUUAUUGAUGUUGUUUGUGAACAUGAAUACGAACGAACACGUAAUUAACCGAAUUUUUGAACGUACGUUUGCGAUAUAGCGUUGCUGAACAUGUUCUAUGUAUACCAUAUGUUGCAUUUACUCGUUUGUUUUAUACAAAUGUGAUCAGUUUGGAUCCUUGGAGUGUGUGUAUAAAAUUAUUUUUUUAAUUGAUGCCUCCUUAAGUUAAUGUUAACCGUCUUUGCGCGCGAGAUAUUGGAAAUGCGUUGGGCGGGAAGUGCUUGGAGAGCGGGAUAAAAUGCUUGAAUUUGAUUUCCUGCAUUAAAGUAUUGAGUAUGAUUUUAAUGUAAUGUUUGUCUGUUCUUUUAUUUGUCUUUGAAAACGUUAGCUCUGAUUCAUUCUUCUAUACAUUUUUUUGCCCAGAAAUAUGAUGAUGAAAGUCAUUGGGUUAGGGUGACCAUACGGGACUCGUCCCAGCCAUGAUUUUAAUAAUGCCUAAAAGAGCAGUCCAGAGCAGUUUGACAAAUAACAUGUAGGUAUUGUACAUAAUCGACCAAUCGUGGUGCUGCGUGUGAGAAGGUGAGAUCUAGAGGGGACGUUCAAAGCAAUUAAAAUAUGCGUUUGUUCGUUCUAUUGACUUGAAGCGUCGCUGCGAACAAAUCCCCCCCCCCCCCCCAAAAAAAAACAAAGUGCGCCACAGUGCUUCAAGUCAAACGAACGAAUAAACACGUGAAAGCGAUUUGAAAGCAUAAGUAGCCGUCUGCUCUGCUCUUUGUAGCUCUCAUGUAUGUUACACAAUGAUCAAUCUGCACAGUACAAAUAGCCAAAACCUGGAUAUUUUAGGCAAUAUUAAAAUACUGGAUAAAAUCCCGGGAGUUAGCCAAUUUACUGAUUCCCUGAUCAGUGCCCUGACUGAAAAAAGGAAAAAUGAAAGUGUUGUCAAGGAGAAAAUGUCUCUCACGUUUGCUUACAGAUGACAGGAGGUAACGUUAGUGAACCAGGAGCUCAGUGUCAGGAAUUUCAGGGCGAGGUGGCCUGCGCUUUUCAGACAUUACGAGAUCAAUGCAGAGUUACAUAGGCUUAUGGAUGUUCCACUGGAAGACAUGUUCUUUGUACAGUUGGGUGUAUACAUGAGUCAACUAAUCAGAGUAAUCCGUUCCAAAGGAGGAGAAACCCCUGCAAUUUUUCACAUAUUGGUUCAGACUGAAAACAUUAAUGUGAAAAGAGAGUGUGUCCUGAAGGCCCUCAUCGUUUUCCUGGGGGGAAAUCCUUAAGGAGUAUCUUGAGAACCAGCUGAUGAUUGCGAGGGUGAGCUGGAGCAGCUCACCAUGGCGGUGUAUGUUAUUCGGAAGGAGGAGGGAGAACAUCACGAACCACAGGCUGACAUAGGUGUCGUCAUCAAGGGUGUUAAAGUUCUUAAUGAACUGUCUUCGUCCACAUCAGCUUGUGCCUUGCUUCUCGGAAUGAUAUACAUCAUCAAUCUGGCUUAUCAAAAAACACUUUUUACAUUCGAGGUAUUCCAGAAAGUUCUCUUGCAGCUCGAUCAGCACAAGAUGACACCAAAAUUUCAAAGUCUUUUCGGAAGACUACAGUUAACUUGCAGUAAUGUUUGAAUGUGCAUGUGUUUGAAACAAUGUCUCUAUUUUAGUUGAAUGGCAUGUAUUCUUAUUGUAAGACUAUCUAUUUGUUCAUUCAUAUGUCUAGUGUGUAGUUGUUCAAAUCUGUAGUUGAUUUGUUCCUUUUACAUUGGUGAAAGGCUAAUUACCUAUAACUCUAAGCUGUCAAAACAUUUUCCAUGCGCUGUUUAAGGUUUUAUAUAUGUGUGUAUA